rnacentral:lncRNA from 1 species
CGGAGGGAAGGAGGGGCGAGGGGUCCUGCAGUUACCAUCUGCUGUGGCUGCAAUAAUAGCAACACGUCUUCCCGUGGGCUCGGAUCCCCCAGAUUGAGUUGAUAUUGUUUUUAUUGAUUUCUCACUUGGCUUCUAUUUCAUAUCGUUGUGAGGAGCUCAAGGAAUCCUAGCGAAGUUCUAUCCGUAUGGCGACUUCCUGCGUCUAAUAAGAUCCAACGCGAACUCAUAAAGGAUUGCGACCGAGCUUCUGGGCUCAAUUCCAGUCCAAAGAUUUUUUUUUUUUUUUCCAGGGUAGAGGAAUCAAAAGGCUUGGUAGGGGGGAAAGCCGGGCAGACCGGGGACAUUCAUCUUCUGAACAUUUAUGCUCAAGCGGUUCCGGGGAGCAUCUCGGAGUGGGAAGCAGCAGAGAGGUGGGGGCUUCCCGGGGCUAUUUGGAAACCCCGUCCCCUUCGAGCUCUCCCUCCCGCCGUCAGGGUCUCAGAGGCAACGGAAUACCGCUCCCUAACCCCGGCCUACCGCUCAUCCAAGCCGGGCCCCGUUUGGGAGCAGCUUUGCAUGGCCCGGGGCGACUGGGGGAGGCUGGCAUCUUGCUAA